rnacentral:rRNA from 1 species
CAGGCCUAACACAUGCAAGUCGAGCGGGGAAGGGUAGCUUGCUACCUGACCUAGCGGCGGACGGGUGAGUAAUGCUUAGGAAUCUGCCUAUUAGUGGGGGACAACAUUCCGAAAGGAAUGCUAAUACCGCAUACGCCCUACGGGGGAAAGCAGGGGAGCUUCGGACCUUGCGCUAAAAGAUGAGCUGAAUACGGAUUAGCGAGUUGGAAGGUGAAAGGCCGACCAAGGCGACGUGAUUAAGCGGGGCUGAGAGGAUGGACCGCCACACUGGGACUUGAGACACGGCCCAGAUGCCAACGGGAGGCAGCAUAGGGGAAGAUUGGGACAAAGGGGGGAGCCUUGGACCAGCCAUGCCGCGUGUUUGAAGAAGGCCUUGUUGGUUUGAAAGCACUUAAAGCGAGGAGGAGGCGACCGAGAUGAAGACUUGAGGAGAGGGGACGUGACGAGCCAGAAGAAGCACCGGCGAAACGAGUUGCCACUAGCCGCGGGAAG